CUCUUGCGUGCACCUUUCAACAAAACACUCGGCGCCGUCAUAUAGCGCGUCGCCUGUUCAUCGACCCUUCCGCCUCGCUCCUCUCGCUUUCCUCCCUGACCUUCUGGCAUUGAGGCUAGCUUGAGCGUCUCCUCGGCUCCUUCUCGUUCUACCUCCCCUCCCGGCACCGUUCUCUCUCUGUAGUAUAUAUCCCUUGCAACUUGCUAGCUCAUCUUCAUCAUCUAUCAGCGCUUCACCUCCCACCACUCUCGUUCACCAUCUUUCUCUAAAGAAGUGUGCACCGGGGAAGCAGAGGGAGGGUUAGCUUCCAUUAUUUGUGCCCUUUCAUUCCGCCGUCCGUCGCUCGCCGGCCGGCGAGAGGACGCAAGGUUGACGAGCCGUACAUUUCUUGCAUUUAUAAGGCUAGAGCCCAGGGAAAGGAGCUCACGCAGCUGGGGCGAUGAGGAGGAGGAAGAAGCCUCCGGACGGACGGACAACCGUGGCCACUCCUGAAAUUGUGUUCUCUGGAGCCUUACUCGGAUUGGAUGGCAUAGGAAAAUAAAAAGCUGGGAACACGAUGUCUUGGAUGAUUCUCCCCAUUUUGGGUCAGCAUUGGGACAACAUAACCCUUUACAGUUGGGGCUCAGCGGUUCUCGCCUGGCUGUACAGACAGCUAUGUGAGGCUUGCAGGCGCACUGCAAGGGAUUCCAAUGUUGGAGGGUGCACAUAUAUGCUGCAGAUUUGGAUUUGGGAGCGAAUGCCCGUAGGUCGACCUUCCCGUCUCCGUAUCGAUCCAUGGCAUCGAGACGAUGCUCAUCCCAUAUUCUAUCAUGUGUGGAAGCAUGUGCGGCCCGUUCGUGGCAAUCCUGAUAGGCGCUACAGGGCCUACACAAACGAAUUUGAUGUUGUCACGCAGCACCAAAUUGAAUGGAAACCGUACGACCGUGAGCAGCUAAGGCAGAUCGUAUUUUCACCGACGUGCUACAGAGACUGAGAGCUGUGGAGGUGCACCAAGCCAAUGAUAUUGUACUACGUCAUAGAGUUUAAAAUAUCGCAUAGGGUGAUGCGGCAGUUUGGGAGGAUGCAACCGUGCCCUCCUUUGGAAUUAUCGAUUUCGUAGCAGCUGCAUAGGAUCGACCGCAGAAAGAGGUAUAAGGAGAAUGAUUGGAGGGUGAAGCAUGGUCAGUACCUCGUCAUGUGAGAGAAUAAGCAAGGAUACGAUCCUAAAGGUGGAUCGUACUGGCGACCAGGACCAAACAAUGAGUACAUAUGAUGGUACUGUACUUCGACGAGAACUAAAGUGAAACCAUCUCGAAGUAAUGUGCCUAUUGAGGAUGCACCGUCUGACUCAGACGUCGACAUAGCUGACGCGUACGACACGGUGACACGCUAUGGGACCCAGCCUGAGCGUGCACCUCUCCACGACAACAUGGGACAGCAGUUUGCAAGGCUCUCAAACGAGGCCGGCGUGGUUAUGGAGCACGCCGUCGGAUCCGGUGAUGGUCUGCUUCGUCAGUUUGCAGAGAGGGUUCGGAAAAGCUGCAGACGAAUGGCCAUGAGGAUGAACUGCAUGUCGUCCUCAGAUGUGCACCACGGGGGCAAUGGCCAGGGUACUUCUUCGGGAUCACGUCGGACUCCAUUGGCGACUCCCCCAGGGCUGCAACACCGUCCACUGCUGCAGGUCCUAGCAGGAGAUCACGAGGCAAGGAACCCGCAUCCCCUCAGGCAAGCGAGGACUCUGAAGGUGAGCAGUUUAAGGAUGACGACCCUACAUAUGGUGAGGAACUGGAGAUUUCCGGCAUGAUCGAUGCUCCACCUAUGACUCAGACGCAGGGAGAGUCCAGCCAGAAACCUGCACCUCGUACCCGGAUGCCACGCUGGCGGCAUCGUUCCCGGGACCACACCGACGUUGGCAGCGCCAAUUUGCUGCCCACGCAUCCAAGAAGGGAGCGUCGCCCAAGAGAUCCUUUUAGCCCUCCGGUUGAGCGGCGGUCACGACACUGAACGUUGCAUGUCUCAAGUGUGAUGCACUAUGUGUGCAAUUUAAUUUAUGUUAUAUGUGUGUGCAAGACUAUUGGAACUGUCACGUGUGUAAAAUACUAAGUUGGAUGUUAGGUUUAUUUCUGUCACGUGUGUAAAAGACUAAGUUGGAUGUUAGGUUUAUUUUUGUCCGUACAAUGUUAUAUGUUUGCUCCAUGACAUACUUGUGUUUCGUGGUUCAAACUAGUUUAAAAAAAAUCAGAACAGAAAAAGCUAUUUAAGUUUCA